UACGUAGGUGGCAAGCGUUGUCCGGAUUUACUGGGCGUAAAGAGCGCGCAGGCGGUCGUUCAAGUCGCGUGUGAAAGCCCCCGGCUCAACUGGGGAGGGUCACGCGAUACUGAUCGACUCGAAGGCAGGAGAGGGAAGCGGAAUUCCCGGUGUAGUGGUGAAAUGCGUAGAUAUCGUGAGGAACACCAGAGGCGAAGGCGGCUACCUGGACAAUUGCUGACGCUCAGGCACGAAAGCGUGGGGAGCAAAAGGG
rnacentral:rRNA from 1 species